rnacentral:rRNA from 1 species
GACGAACGCUGGCGGCGUGCUUAACACAUGCAAGUCGAACGGAAAGGCCCUGCUUUUGUGGGGUGCUCGAGUGGCGAACGGGUGCGUAACACGUGAGUAACCUGCCCUUGACUUUGGGAUAACUUCAGGAAACUGGGGCUAAUACCGGAUAGGAGCUCCUGCUGCAUGGUGGGGGUUGGAAAGUUUCGGCGGUUGGGGAUGGACUCGCGGCUUAUCAGCUUGUUGGUGGGGUAGUGGCUUACCAAGGCUUUGACGGGUAGCCGGCCUGAGAGGGUGACCGGCCACAUUGGGACUGAGAGACGGCCCAGACUCCUACGGGAGGCAGAAGUGGGGAAUAUUGCACAAUGGGCGGAAGCCUGAUGCAGCAACGCCGCGUGCGGGAUGACGGCCUUCGGGUUGUAAACCGCUUUCGCCUGUGACGAAGCGUGAGUGACGGUAAUGGGUAAAGAAGCACCGGCUAACUACGUG